AGGGGCGGGGCACCGGCAGGCCUGGGUGGAUUUCCUGGCCGGCUUAGCUCCUGGGGCCUGGGCCUGGGGCCUGGCCCUGCGUGUCUGUGGGCUGGGUGGGGAGACCCGCAGGCCUGGGAUUUGGCUGUGGAAAAGGCCCGAGGCUCUGGGGGCCAGCUAGAGACCCAAGAUGCACCAGUCCUUGGCACAGCGUGUGACACACAGUGAGUGCAUAGCCAUGAGGUGGAAGCUGUGAGAGCCCAGGAGACCUCAGAUGCCACCCAGCACAGAGCCUGGCCCGAGGGAUAAAACACCGUGUGGCAGCCGGGACAGUGACUGGAGGGACCAUCAAUGUCACAAACACAGCUGGGGACCCCAGGGCCCUGGCGUGGGCUCCCCCGUGACAGCCUCAGAGGUGAGUGACCUCAUUCCCCCAUGGCCAUCCAGCUGCAGGGUGCCGCCCAGUGCAGGUGGCUUUGGGGA
ensembl:lncRNA